UACAGAGGUCCCAAGCGUUGUUCGGAUUCACUGGGCGUAAAGGGUGCGUAGGUGGUGAGGUAAGUCGGAUGUGAAAUCUCCGAGCUCAACUCGGAAAUGGCAUUGGAAACUACCUUGCUCGAGGGUUGGAGGGGGGACUGAAAUGCUUGGUGUAGCAGUGAAAUGCGUAGAUAUCAAGCGGAACACCAGUGGCGAAGGCGAGUCCCUGGACAACUCCUGACACUGAGGCACGAAAGCUAGGGGAGCAAACAGG
rnacentral:rRNA from 1 species